GGUAACAUGCAGUCGAGCGGUUGGAUCAAGAGCUUGGUCUUUGAGAUAGCGGCGGACGGGUGAGUAACGUGUGGGUAACCGGCCGAUAAGACUGGGAUAAAUCCGGGAAACCGGGGCUAAAACCGGAAAAGAUUUUGAACCGCAGGGGGGGAAAUUGAGGGGCCGCUUCGGCUGACACGUACGGAUGGACCCACGUCCCCCUAGCGGGUUGGUGAGGUAACGGCUCACCAACGCAACGAUGCUGAGACGACCUGAGAGGGUGAUCGGGCACACAGGGACUGAUGCACGGGAGGACUCCUACGGGAGGCAGCAUUGUGGAAUCUUCCGAUGGACGACAGUCUGACGGAUGACGCCACGUGAGUGAUGAAGGCUUUCAUUCGGAGGUUUUCCGAGUGUUGUUAGGGAAAGGAACAAGUGCUAGUUGAAUAAGCUGGCACCUUGACCGUACCUAACCAUAAAGCCACGGCUAACUACCUGCCAACAACCGCGGUAAUACGUAAGUGGCAAGGGUUAUCCGGAAUUAUUGGGCGUAAGGCGCCGACGCGCAGGUGGUUUCUUUAAGUCUGAUGUGAAAACCCACCCGGGCUCCAACCCGUGGAGGGGUUCAUUGGAAACUGGGAGAAGCUUGAGAUGCUUAAAGGAGGAAGAAGUGGAAUUUCCAUGUGUUAACCGGUGAAAUGCGUAGAAUAUAUGGAGGAAACCACCAGUUGGGCCCAGGCGACUUUUCCUGGUCUGUUAAACUGACAGCUGAGGGCUCGCGAAAGCGUUGGGGGAGCAAACGGGAUUAGAUACCCUGGUAGGUUCCACGCCGUAAACGAUGAGUGCUAAGUGUUAGAGUGUUUCCGCCCUUUCGUGCUUAAGUUAACGCAUUAAGCGCUCCGCCCGGCGAGCUCGAGCGCAAGGCUGAAACUCAAAAGAAUUGACGGGGUCCCGCACACGCGGUGGAGCAUGUGGAUUUAAUCGAAAGCAUCGCAAAGAACCUUACCCACGGUCUUGACAUCCUCAUAACCACCUAGAAGAUCGAGCUUUGCCCUUCGGCACCAGAGUGACAGGUUGGUGCAUGGCUGUCGUCAGCUCGUGUCGUGAAAUUGUUGGUUAAUUCCCCGCAAACGAGGCCCAACACCUCAAUUUUAGYUGCCAUCAUUUAGUUGUGAAAUCUAGAGGACUCGCCGGUAACAAACUGGAGGAAGGUGGGGAUGACGUGCAAAUCAUCCAGCCCCUUAUGACCCGUACUACCCCCCUGGUACAAUGGGCAGUACAAAGAGAAGCAAGCCCGCGAGGAGCAACCAUUCUUCCUAAACUGUUUGCAAUUCGGGAUGGGGGUUGCAAAUUGCCUUCCUGAAAGUGGAAUCGGUAGUAAUCGCGGAUCAGCAUGCCGCGGUGAAUACGUUCCCGGGCCUUGUACCCACCCCCCGUCACACCACGAGAGUUUGUAACCCCCGAAGUCGGGGAGGUAACCUUGAACCAGCCGCCAG
rnacentral:rRNA from 1 species